AAGUAGCCACAAGUGGUGGA
rnacentral:snRNA from 1 species